rnacentral:rRNA from 1 species
AUUGAACGCUGGCGGCAGGCCUAACACAUGCAAGUCGAGCGAGCGGCGGACGGGUGAGUAAUGUCUGGGAAACUGCCUGAUGGAGGGGGAUAACUACUGGAAACGGUAGCUAAUACCGCAUACCAUCAGAUGUGCCCAGAUGGGAUUAGCUAGUGGGUGGGGUAACGGCUCACCUAGGCGACGCUCCCUAGCUGGUCUGAGAGGAUGACCAGACACACUGGAAAUGAGACACGGUCCAGAAGCAUACGGGAGGCAGCAGGGGGGAAUAUUGAACAAUGGGGGCAAGCCUGAGGCAGCCAUGCCGCGUGUGUGAAGAAGGCAUUCGGGUUGAAAAGCACUUUCAGCGGGGAGGCGUUACCCGCAGAAGAAGCACCGGCUAACUCCGUGCCAGCAGCCGCGGUAAUUC